rnacentral:rRNA from 1 species
AUUGAACGCUGGCGGCAUGCUUUACACAUGCAAGUCGAACGGCAGCGGGGGCUUCGGUCCGCCGGCGAGUGGCGAACGGGUGAGUAAUGCAUCGGAACGUGCCCAGUCGUGGGGGAUAACACAUCGAAAGAUGUGCUAAUACCGCAUACGUCCUGAGGGAGAAAGCGGGGGAUCUUCGGACCUCGCGCGAUUGGAGCGGCCGAUGUCGGAUUAGCUAGUUGGUGGGGUAAAGGCCCACCAAGGCGACGAUCCGUAGCGGGUCUGAGAGGAUGAUCCGCCACACUGGGACUGAGACACGGCCCAGACUCCUACGGGAGGCAGCAGUGAGGAAUAUUGGUCAAUGGACGCAAGUCUGAACCAGCCACGUCGCGUGAAGGAAGACGGCCCUACGGGUUGUAAACUUCUUUUAUACGGGGAAUAAAGUGCCCCACGCGUGGGGUUUUGCAUGUACCGUAUGAAUAAGGAUCGGCUAACUCCGUGCCAGCAGCCGCG